rnacentral:rRNA from 1 species
UGCACCUACGGGGGGCAGCAGCCGCGGUAAUACGUAGGGGGCAAGCGUUAUCCGGAUUUACUGGGUGUAAAGGGAGCGUAGACGGCGAAGAAAGUCUGAAGUGAAAGCCCGCGGCUUAACCGCGGAACUGCUUUGGAAACUUUUUUGCUGGAGUACCGGAGAGGUAAGCGGAAUUCCUAGUGUAGCGGUGAAAUGCGUAGAUAUUAGGAGGAACACCAGUGGCGAAGGCGGCUUACUGGACGGUAACUGACGUUGAGGCUCGAAAGCGUGGGGAGCAAACAGGAUUAGAAACCCUGGUAGUCCAA